rnacentral:rRNA from 1 species
UAACACGUAGGAACCGAGCGUUGUCCGGAUUUACUGGGCGUAAAGGGCGAGUAGGUGGCUUGUUAAGUCUUGUGUGAAAUCUCCCGGCUCAACUGGGAGGGGUCAUGAGAUACUGACAGGCUUGAGGGCAGUAGAGGAAAGUGGAAUUCCCGGAGGAGUGGUGGAAUGCGUAGAUACCGGGAGGAACACCAGUGGCGAAAGCGACUUUCUGGGCUGUUCCUGACACUGAGGCGCGAAAGCACGGGGAGCAAACCGGAUUAGAUACCCGGGUAGUCCAUGCCCUAAACGAUGGAUACUAGGUAUUGGGGGUAUCGACCCCCCCUGUGCCGAAGCUAACGCGAUAAGUAUCCCGCCUGGGGAGUACGGCCGCAAGGCUA